UUAUCAAUGAAAUCUAUUCUGAAGAAACGGCUUAGAUAUUUAAUUUUUAAAAUGCUAUUUCUGCAUCCAAACUUAUCAGGAAGAUGGGUCUUAAGACAUGAAGACACUCUUUUGUCUUUUUAUUGACUGACCCCAUUGUGGUCUUAAAUAUUUUUAUUUCGAGAUUCUAUGGGGUUUUCUUUUUACAAGGAAUGAAGUCACAAAUGAAAAACUGGCCUUGAGAGUAAAUUUAUUUAUUUAUUUAUUUUGAGACAGGGUCUCGCUUUAUCACCCAGGCUUGAGUGCAGUGGUGUGAUCUCAGCUCACUGCAGCCUCAACCUUCUGGGCUCAAGUGAUCCUCCUGCCUCAGUGCCCCAAAUAGCUGGAACUAUACAGGUGGGUGCCACCACAUCCAGAUAAUUUUCAUAUUUUUUGUAGAGACAGGGUUUUGCCAUGUUGCCCAGGUCUUCAACUCCUGAGCUCAAGUGAUCCGCCAGCCUCAGCCUCCCAAAGUGCUAGGAUUAUAGGCAUGAGCCACUGCGCCUGGCCUGAGAAUAAAUUCUUGAGUGUAGGCCUAGCUGUGGCUAAUUAGCUGUGUGAUGUUGGAUAAGUUUAAACAUUUUUGUCUGUAACAUGAGAUGUAAAUCAAAUGAUCUUAGGUGUUUGUUUUUAGCUCAAAAAUUCUAUGGUGGAUUAUUUUAAGACAACUUCUUUAAAGACAAUGCCAAAUAGGGAGAGUUCUCCUUAAAAAUUAGUAGCAUUUGAUCAUUGACUUCAAUGAUACGAUUGGAUGGCCUUACUACAGAAGGAAAAGCAAUUGGUGUCCUAUGCAAAUUUAUAUAAGUAAACCAGAAAUGGCCUACAGGUGGGAUGAGAGUCCUACAGGAAGAUUCUUCCUAGCUCAGUUGGUACAGUAUGUGACUCAGAAAUCAGGAGGGAUUUAGUGUUUCCAAAGAAAAAACAGAUUUUGUCAUGCUUUAGAAUAUAGAUAUAUUUAUCUUACAUUCUCAAAUACAGUGACUAACAGAAAUACAGUUAAAUACUAACACAAAUACAGUUGCUGUUUUUCUUUUUUUUAACAUACUUAUACUAUAUAGAAUAUUUUUGUAUUUUAAAUAGAAAAACUUCCUCUACAAUGAUUCUACUUUAAAAAAAUUGUGGAUUCAAGGUGUUAAAAUAGGUGAUUUCAUAUUCAUAUUAUAUUCAAAUUCAAAAUUACAGUGCAAAUCACUCAGCUUUUACUACAAAAUCAUUUAUUGAUCAGUGAUCUGGUUUAUAAGUAAAAUGUGAAGCCUUGAACUCUAAGAAGAUGAAAAUACAGUGUCUUAAUUUCAAAGGGCUCAGAAUUAUUAUUUUUAAUCUCUAUUUAUUAUUUAUUAACUCACUAUUUUUACAGUAAAACUUUUAAGUUUUCAUAAUUAAUAUUUUAAUCUGUAUUUGCUCUCAACAGAGAAAUAUAACACAUGAACUAUUUAUUUAUUAUUGAUUGAUUGGAAUCAUGGUCUCACUCUGUUGCUCAGGCUGGGGUACAGUGGCAUGAUCACAGCUCACUGCAGCCUUGACCUCCUGGGCUCAAGUGAUCCUCCUGCCUUAGCUUCUUGAGUAUGUGGGACUACAGGUGUUUGCCACCACACCUAGCUAAUUAAAAAAAAUUUUUUUUGGUAGAGAUGGGAUCUUGUUAUGUUGCUCAGGCUGGUCUUGAACUCCUGAACUCAAGUAAUCCUCCUACCUCAGCAUCCCAAAGUGCUGGGAUUACAGGUGUGACACGCCGUGUCUAGCCCCACAUGAAAUAUUUAAAAAUGCAAGAAUAUAUGAAAAAGUUUACAACUGCUAAAACUACUAGGACAUCACUUAAGCUUUCAAAAAAGUUACGUAUAAUGCAUUUAUUUAUUUUUAAUUGACAAAUAAUAAUUGUGUAUAUCUAUGGAGUACAAAGGGGUAUUUUAAUAUAUGUUUACAUUAUGGAAUGAUUAAAGCCAAUUCACAAAUCUAUCACCUCACAUACUUAUUUUUUCGUGGUGUAAACAUUUAAAAUUUACUCUUUUAGCAAUUUUGAAAAAUACAAUGCAUUAUUAUUUUUUAUUUUUAUUUUUUUGAGACAGGGUCUCACUCUGUCACCCAGGCUGGAGUGCAAUGGUGCUAUUUCAGCUCAUUGCAACCUGCUCCUCCCAGAUUCAAGUGAUCCUCUCACCUCAGCCUCCCAAGUAGUUGGGAACACAGGCAUGCACCACCACGCCUGGCUAUUUUUUGAAAUUUUUUUAUUUUUUAUUUUUUGCAUUUUUAGUAGAGACAGGGUCUUGCUAUGUUGCCCUGGCCAGUCUCGAAUUCCUGAGCUCAAGUGACACACCAGCCUCGGACUCCCAAAGUGUUGGGAUUACAGGUGUGAGCCACCAUGCCCAGCCUUCAGUGCAUUAUAUUUAUUAUAGUCACCAUUGUGUACAACAGGUCAUUAAGUAGUCCUCCUGUCUAGCUAAAACUUUGUAUCCUUUGAUCAGUAUCUCUACCUUUUCAGCAUCUACUCCCCUCUCCCAGCCUCUGGUAAACACCAGUCCACUGUGUACUUCCACUGAGUUCUACUUUUACAGAUGUCUCAUAUAGUGAGAUCGUGUGGUAUUUGUCUUUCUAUGCCUGACUUAUUUCACUUAGCAUAAUGUCCUGCAGGUUCAUCCAUGUGUCACCAAGUGACAGAAUUUCCUUCUUUUUUAAGGUUGAAUAGUAUUCCAUUGUGUAGUAUAACACAUUUUCUUUAUCCAGAAAAUAUGCAUUUAAUGAAAUAAUGUUUUAAAGUCAAACUCUUGAAAGUAUUACAUUAAGAAUAUAGUAAUACAUCAGUGGCAAAUACUUACAAUUUGCUAACAGAGGUGUGGUAGAGACCUCAUUUCCUCUGUG
rnacentral:lncRNA from 1 species